AACGCACAUUGCGCCCGUUAGCAUUCUAGCGGGCAUGCCUGUCCGAGCGUCAUUUCAACCCUCAGGGUCCCCGUUCCGGCGGGGAACCUGGUGUUGGGGAUCGGCCCGCCCCGCGCGGCGCCGUCCCCCAAAUUCAGUGGCGGUCUCGCUGCAGCCUCCCCUGCGUAGUAGUUACAACCUCGCAUCGGAGCUCAGCGCGGCCACGCCGUAAAACCCCCGACUUUCUGAACGUUGACCUCGGAUCAGGUAGGAAUACCCGCUGAACUUAA
rnacentral:misc_RNA from 1 species